rnacentral:rRNA from 1 species
CGGCUUGGAUUNUGUUUAGAAGGUUUGUGUGAACUGCCGGAGUUUAGAGGUGAAAUUCGUAAGAUAUUCGCAAGAACACCGGGUGUCUGAAGUCGGCCAACUGGACCAUUACUGACGCUGAGGCGUCGAAAGCGUGGGGAGCAAACAGGAUUAGAUACCCUGGUAGUCCACGCCGUAUAACGAUGAAUGCCANCUGUUGGGGUGCUUGCACCGCAGUAGCGCAGCUAACGCUUUGAGCAUUCCGCCUGGGGAGUACGUGUCGCAAGAUUAAAACUCAUAAGGAAUUGACGGGGGCCCGCACAAGUCGGUGGAGCAUGUGGUUUAAUUCGAAGCAACGCGCAGAACCUUACCAUCCUUUGACAUGGCGUGUUACCCAGAGAGAUCUGGGGUCCCCUUCGGGGGCGCGCACACAGGUGNCUGCAUGGCUGUCUGUCAGCUCGUGUCGUGAGAUGUUGGGUUAAGUCCCGCAACGAGCGCAACCCACGUCCUUAGUUGCCAUCAUUCAGUUGGGCACUNUAGGGAGACUGUCCGGUGAUAAGCCGCGAGGAAGGUGUGGAUGACGUCAAGUCCUCAUGGCCCUUACGGGAUGGGCUACACACGUGCUACAAUGGCGGUGACAGUGGGAGGCGAAGGAGCGAUCUGGAGCAAAUCCCCAAAAGUCCGUCUCAGUUCGGAUUGCACUCUGCAACUCGAGUGCAUGAAGCCCUGUAUCGACAUAUAAUGCGNGAUUCGAUGNACUGUCCUACCAGCUAUCAGCC